rnacentral:rRNA from 1 species
AAUACAGAGGAUGCAAGUGUUAUUCGGAUUGAUUGGGCGUAAAGCGUCUGUAGGCGGUUUAGAAAGUCUCUUGUGAAAUUCUUCAGCUCAACUGAGGGUCCGCAAAAGAAACUUCUAGGCUUGAGGGAAGUAGAGGUAUAGGGAAUUUCCGGUGGAGCGGUGAAAUGCGUAGAUAUCGGAAGGAACACCAAUAUGGCGAAGGCACUGUACUGGGCUUUUCCUGACGCUAAGAGACGAAAGCUAAAGGAGUGAUUAGGAUUAGAUACCCUAGUAAUUUUAGCCGUAAACGAUGGAAACUCACUGCCGAGCCGGUAUUCGGAGCGGUGGUCAAGCUAACGCGUGAAGUUUCCCGCCUGGGGAUUACGCAUGCAAAUGUGAAACUCAAAGGAAUUGACGGGGACCCGCACAAGCGGUGGAGUAUGUGGUUUAAUUCGAUGCAACGCGAAAAACCUUACCAAGGUUUGAAAUCAUUUCAAAACUCUUUGAAAGAAGAGCCUCCUUCGGGAUGAAAUGACAGGUGGUGCAUGGCUGUCGUCAGCUCGUGUUGUGAAAUGUCAAGUUAAGUCUUGUAACGAGCGCAACCCAUGUCUUUUGUUGCUGUUUUCAGUGCUUAAAAGAGACUGCCGCUCUACAGCGGAGGAAGGUGUGGAUGAUGUCAAGUCAGCAUGCCCCUUAUAUCUUGGGCUACACACGUACUACAAUGGUAGGGACAAUGAGUCGCAAACCUGCGAAGGCUAGCCAAUCUCAAAAACCCUAUCUCAGUUCGGAUUGUACUCUGCAACUCGAGUGCAUGAAGGUGGAAUCGCUAGUAAUCGCUGGUCAGCAUACAGCGGUGAAUACGUUCCCGGGUCUUGUACACACUGCCCGUCACACCAUGGAAGUCGACUCUUCCCUAAGUCGUUACUCGAACCGUAAGGACGAGGAUGCCGAAGGCAGGGUUGGUGACUGG